rnacentral:misc_RNA from 1 species
UCCGGCUUAACGCCGGCAGUCCCCCCAGAGUCCCCGGCCGAACCGCUGGCAACUGGGAGCGAGGGUUGCGCUCGUUGCGGGACUUAACCCAACACCUCACGGCACGAGCUGACGACAGCCGUGCAGCACCUGCACAGGCUCCCUUGCGGGUCCCUUGGCUUUCGCCUCAGUACCACCUGCACGUCAAGUCCGGGUAAGGUUCUUCGCGUCGCGUCGAAUUGAACCACAUGCACCACCGCUUGUGCGGGCCCCCGUCAAUUCCUUUGAGUUUCAACCUUGCGGCCGUACUCCCCAGGCGGGGAACUUACUCCGUUAGGUGCGGCACCGGCGGUAACCCGCCGACACUUAGUUCCCAUCGUUUAGGGCGUGGACUAC